GGAUCGGAGUCUGCAACCCGACUCCGUGAAGCUGGAUUCGCUAGUAAUCGCGCAUCGGCCAUGGCGCGGUGAAUACGUUCCCGGGCCUUGUACACACCGCCCGUCAAGCCAUGGGAGCCGGGGGUGCUUGAAGUGCGUCGCCGCAAGGCGCGCCCUAGAGCAAAACCGGUGACUGGGGCUAAGUCGUAACAAGGUAUC
rnacentral:rRNA from 1 species